rnacentral:rRNA from 1 species
AUGAAGAUACAUAUUCAAUUCCUUCGAUCAAGUGGAAAGGCACUAAAUGUGUUUAUAGGCCGCUUUUGUUCUAAAUGCACUAAACAAGAAGAUAGUGCCACCUCGAAAAGCCAGACCACUGAUGGCACGUGUAUACAUGGGUUAAUCGCACCGUCCAGCAAGGAUGAAUUGUCGGCUGUACCUGAAGUUGCUGGUGAUGACAGAAAUACAGAAGUGCCCAAUGUCCCGUUGAAAGAGAAGCCAGUUCUCGGUUUUGACCCUCCUAGGAAGCCGAGGGCAAGACAUAGACUCAAAAUCUGGAUCAGCACUCGGCACAAUGGCAUAAUUGGACGAUGCGGUAAUAAACUGGAUUUAGGUUUCUUCAAUGGGGCGAAGCGGUUAUCAGCUGAACAUUUGAAUACUGGAUGGCCAGAUUGGCUUGUGACUGUGGCACCUGAGGCAGUGCAAGGCUGGGCCCCACUGCAAGCUGAUUCGUUUGAGAGAUUAAGUAAGGUACAUUAUCAGUUUGAUGAUACAAGUUACUUCAUCAGGAAAAAAAUGAUAUUGUUUCUUGUUAGUACUUUCUUCUUCUUCUCAAUUUCCCCGUUUUGCAUUUAUUAUUUUGAGUUGCAGAUUGGACAAGGGACUUAUAGUAGUGUUUACAAAGCUCGGGAUCUUAGAACAGCCAAAAUUGUUGCGCUCAAGAAGGUUCGGUUUGUCAAUACAGAUCCUGAAAGUGUGCGCUUUAUGGCUAGAGAAAUAUGUGUUCUUCGGAAACUCAAUCAUCCCAAUGUUAUAAAGUUGGAAGGGAUAGUAACAUCUCCUGUUUCACAAAACCUAUAUCUCGUCUUUGAAUACAUGGAACAUGACCUUGUUGGCCUUGCUGCAACUCCAGAACUCAAGUUCACCGAGUCACAGGUCAAGUGCUUGAUGCAACAGAUACUUAGUGGCCUUGAUCAUUGCCACAGCAAAGGAAUUCUUCAUCGUGACAUAAAGGGCUCCAAUCUCUUGAUUGAUGGCCAUGGUGUUUUGAAGAUUGCUGACUUUGGCUUAGCAACAUUUUAUGAUCCUGAGAGUCAGCAACCACUGACAAGCCGUGUUGCAACAUUGUGGUACAGACCACCGGAACUUCUGCUUGGUGCCACCAGGUACAGUGCUGCUGUGGAUAUGUGGAGUACAGGUUGCAUUUUUGGGGAAUUGCUGACUGCCAAGCCAGUCAUGCCAGGCAGAACUGAGGUGGAGCAAAUUCACAAGAUUUUCAAGCUCUGUGGAUCACCUUCUGACGAGUACUGGCAGAAAUUGGAAGUGCCCCCAACAGGGAUGUUCAAGCCCCUGUGCCAGUAUAAGCGGUGCAUUGCCGAGAAUUUCAAAGAUUUACCUCCAUCAGCUCUAGUUCUUCUAGAUAACUUGCUUGCAUUAGAACCAGAAGCUCGUGGAACAGCUGCCUCGAGUCUUCAGAGUGACUUUUUCAGAACAGAGCCACUUGCUUGCAGCCCUUCGGACUUACCAAAGUGUCCACCAAGCAAAGAAUAUGAUGCUAGACUCCGACAAGAGGAAGCAAGAAGACAAAGAAGGGCAGAAUCUGUUCGAUCAGGGAAUGAGAAUCCUAGAGAAAACCAUGUUGCAUAUGGUUCUAUUAAACCGCAGAGGCUUCAGCAUACCAAAACAAGGUUCAAUAGUGCACAUCUCAAUCCAAAGGAUGAUCAACUGACGUUGGCUACUGAGGUACAACCUCUAGGGUUUGAUCCCACAUGGAACAAGGGAGGUAACAAUUAUAUGGACCAUCACGAAGUACCUGAACGCAAAUAUAAAUCUGGCCGAUUGGCAAAUUCCAACAUUUCAAGGACAAAGGGCUCAGACAUGUUUAAACCCGAAUCAACUGGCGUAGGGAACAUUAUGCCUGCUUCUCACAACAAAGAGAUGGAAGUAAAAGGCCCAAUGGUGGUAAGUAUGGACUACAAGGGUAAGAGCAAAAUAGUCAAUUCCUCUGGUCCAGUGGCUACUCAAGAUGGGAACAUAGAGGAUAUGCUCAGAGAACAUGAGCGGAAUGUUCAGGAAGCGGUGCGCAAAGCGCGCUGCAUCAAGAGUUGA